rnacentral:rRNA from 1 species
AGAGUUUGAUCAUGGCUCAGAUUGAACGCUGGCGGCAGGCUUAACACAUGCAAGUCGAGCGGAGAUGAGGUGCUUGCACCUUAUCUUAGCGGCGGACGGGUGAGUAAUGCUUAGGAAUCUGCCUAUUAGUGGGGGACAACAUUCCGAAAGGAAUGCUAAUACCGCAUACGUCCUACGGGAGAAAGCAGGGGAUCUUCGGACCUUGCGCUAAUAGAUGAGCCUAAGUCGGAUUAGCUAGUUGGUGGGGUAAAGGCCUACCAAGGCGACGAUCUGUAGCGGGUCUGAGAGGAUGAUCCGCCACACUGGGACUGAGACACGGCCCAGACUCCUACGGGAGGCAGCAGUGGGGAAUAUUGGACAAUGGGGGGAACCCUGAUCCAGCCAUGCCGCGUGUGUGAAGAAGGCCUUAUGGUUGUAAAGCACUUUAAGCGAGGAGGAGGCUACUGAGACUAAUACUCUUGGAUAGUGGACGUUACUCGCAGAAUAAGCACCGGCUAACUCUGUGCCAGCAGCCGCGGUAAUACAGAGGGUGCGAGCGUUAAUCGGAUUUACUGGGCGUAAAGCGUGCGUAGGCGGCUUUUUAAGUCGGAUGUGAAAUCCCCGAGCUUAACUUGGGAAUUGCAUUCGAUACUGGGAAGCUAGAGUAUGGGAGAGGAUGGUAGAAUUCCAGGUGUAGCGGUGAAAUGCGUAGAGAUCUGGAGGAAUACCGAUGGCGAAGGCAGCCAUCUGGCCUAAUACUGACGCUGAGGUACGAAAGCAUGGGGAGCAAACAGGAUUAGAUACCCUGGUAGUCCAUGCCGUAAACGAUGUCUACUAGCCGUUGGGGCCUUUGAGGCUUUAGUGGCGCAGCUAACGCGAUAAGUAGA